UUCCACGCUGUGGACUAUUUGUUCUUUUGCUCUUUGCAAUAAAUCUUGCUACUGCUCACUCUUUGGGUCCACACUGCCUUUAUGAGCUGUAACACUCACCCCUAAGGUCUGCAGCUUCACUCCUGAAGCCAGCGAGAGGAACGAGCCCAGCAGGAGGAACGAACAACUCCAGAGGCCCCGCCCUAAGGGCGCCGCCUUAAGAGCUGUAACACUCACCGCGAAGGUCUACAGCUUCACUCCUGAGCCAGCGAGACCACAAACCUACCAGAAGGGGAACACAUCUGAACAUCAGAAGGAGCAAACUCCGGACACGCCACCUUUAAGAACUGUAACACUCACCGCGAGGGCCCGUGGCUUCAUUCUUGAAGUCAGUGAGACCAAGAACCCACCAAUUCCGGACACAAAACUUUCAAGACAGUAGCUUCUAUUGAAACAUCACUUCUCAUUUGCUGUUUGGACAAUGGUGAUGGAACUGCUGCUUUAUUGCCCACGGAGAAGCGAAGUGAAGAGUCUAAAGUGGGUCUUGCAGUUACACUGGACAAAAGAAGUUUGAAACUGAGGCUUGGUCCUGAAGAACACGUAGAGAAGGCUGACAGAUUAUAUAUAUUCACAGCUUUGGCUUAAAGGUUGCUGGUUGACCAAUAAGUAAUACAAGAAGAAAUGGUCUUUUCUGGAAUUGUCCUUUCCAGAACACUGCAAACACUGAGCCUGAGACUUGUGUACUUUCGCUCUGUCUCUUGGACCUUUCACCAUGUG